rnacentral:tRNA from 1 species
ACCUCCCGUCCUUUCCAACAAACCAAUCAUUCCCGUAAAGGAUUUUAUCUUUAUUUGACUUUCUUUCACAUUA